rfam:Oryza glaberrima chromosome 6 Oglab06_0006_6, whole genome shotgun sequence.
AAUAAGAACAAUUUUGCACUGUUCAUGUUUAACGUUUAACUGUUCGUUUUAUUUGAAAAAAAAUAUGAUUAGUAUUUUUAUUGUUAUUAGAUGAUAAAACAUGUAUAGUACUUUAUGUGUGACUAAUUUUUUUUAUUAAUUUUGAAAUAAGACGGCCGGUCAAACGUUGGAGACGGAUACCGACUUAUU